UUGUGGUCCCUUCCAACUCUACAAUCUAUGAAUCUAUGAAAAGGUAAAGCUGAUUUGCCCAGGCACAGUGCUACAUAAAUGCAACUAUAUUAUUUCUGGUUUAGGUGGUACAGCUGGCUAGACUGGCUCAGACUGGACACAGUAUACCCAGAUCAUGCAGCACCAGUGACUGCCAUGAAGAUCCAUAUUCCAGUUGUGGUUUCAGUAAAACAUAGCAUGAAAACAGUCUGAAUCCAACCACAGGAUGGAGAUAUCUGCGAACUGGCGACAGCAGAUGCGCUUGAGGAUUAUGUAGAGAUGGCUGAAGAUGAUCAUUGGUGGAGGGAGGACAGGC